rnacentral:rRNA from 1 species
CCUGGUUGAUCCUGCAAGUAGCAUAUUCUUGUCUCAAAGAUGAAGCCAUGCAUGUUUAAGUACAAAUGGGUGGUACAGUGAAACUGCGAAUGGCUCACCAAAUCUGUUAUGGUUUCUUUGAUUGAUCCAUUUGACACUUGGAAGCUGUGGCAAUUCUAGAGCUAAUAAAUGCUGAGGAGCGCCGACCUCCCAGGAUACAUGCAUUCAUCCAACCAAAAUGAAUCCAGGCUUGCUCGGCCGCUUUGGUGUCUGUAUAUGACCUUGGGCCCAUCACACAUCCCAGUGACAGUGAUGAUACAUUUGGAUGUCCGCCCUUUCAACUUUUGAUGGUACUUUCUGUGCCUACCAUCGUGACCACGGGUAACAGAGAAUCAUGGUACGAUUCUGGAGAGGGAGUCUAAGAAACGGCUAUCACAUCCAAGGAAGAUAGAAGGUGCCGAAUGUACACACUCCCGACUUGGGGAGGUAGUGACAAAAAUAACAAAACAUAACUCUUUCGAGUCCCAAUAAUUGGAAUGAGUGCACUGUAAAUCCAUUAACGGGGAUACAUUGGAGGGACAGUCUGGUGCCAACAGCCACAGUAAUUCCAGCUCCAAUAGAGUAUGUUAAAUUUGCUAUAGUUGAAAAGCUCAUUGUUGGAUCCUGUGAUCGAGCUGGCGGUAUGCCGCAAUUCAAGCCAAUACCUGUGCCAGCACCUGACUAUCAGAGCCCCUUGAUGUUCUUGACUGAGUGUCUUGGGGGUCCAAAGCAUUUAGUUUGAACAAAUUAGUGCUCAAAGCAGGCCGGUCACCUGAAUACUUCAGCUAGGUUUAAUUGAAUAGGACUCAGGUUAUAUUUUGUUGGUUUUCGGAACUGAGCCAUGAUUGAGACAGACGGCAGGGGGCAUUUGUAUUGAGCCACUAAAGAUGAAAUUCGUGGACUGGCGCAAGACGAACUAAAGCAAAAUUAUUUGCCAAGAAUGUAUUUAUUAAUCAAGAACGAAAGUCAGAGUUUCGAAGACAAUUAGAUACUGCCAUAGUUACGACCAUAGACAAUGCUGACCAGUGAUCUGGGGGUGUUGUUCCCAUGACCUGCUGAGAAGCUUUGGGAAAACCCAAGUCUUUAGGGUUCCCGGGAGUAUGGUUGAAAAACUGGAACUAAAAGGAGUUAACGGAAGGGCACCACCAGGGGUUGAGCCUACUGCUUAAUUUGACUCAGUACGGGAAACCACACCUGGCCCAGACACAGAAAGGAUCAAUAGAUGGAUAGCUCUUUCUUGAUUCUGUGGGUGGUGGUGCAUGAUCCUUGUUAGCUGGUGGAACGAUUUGUCUGGUUAAUUCUUAUGAGCUACAAGGCGCCUCCAUGCUAACUAGCUAUGCGACCCCCAGCAGUCACCGUUCACAUUUUUGGAGGGACAAGUGGCGUUCAGCCACACUAGAUCGAGCAAUAACAGGACAGCAAUGCCCUUAGGUGUCUGAGGCUGCACGCGCGCUACACUGAAUGGAUAAGAAUGUUUAACCCACAGGUAACUUGCUGAAACCCCCUUCUUAAUAGGGAUUCGGGAUAGCAAUUAAUUCUCAUGAACGAGUAAUUGCCAGUAAGUGCAGGUCAUAAGCUUUCAUUCAUUAAUCCCUGCCCUUUGUACACAACACCCCUUGCUACCACUUAUUGAAUGGUUUAGUGAGGUCCUUGUAUUGGCCCUGCUGGGGUCAGCAACAGCCCUGGCGAAGCACCAAGAAGACAAUCAAACUUGACUAUCUUGAGGAAGUAAAAGUCAUAACAAAUUUUCCUUAGGUGGAUCUGUGUAAG